GACGAACGCUGGCGGCGUGCUUAACACAUGCAAGUCGAACGAAGUGGCGAACGGGUGAGUAACGCGUAAUCAACCUGCCCUUCAGGGGGGGACAACCGUUGGAAACGACUGCUAAUACCGCAUACUGACUGAGGGGCUUGCGUCUGAUUCGCUAGUUGGAGGGGUAACGGCCCACCAAGGCGAUGAUCAGUAGCCGGUCUGAGAGGAUGAACGGCCACAGUGGGAAUGAGACACGGCCCAGACGCCUACGGGAGGCAGCAGUGGGGAAUCUUCCGCAAUGGACGAAAGUCUGACGGAGCAACGCCGCGUGAGUGAUGACGGCCUUCGGGUUGUAAAGCUCUGUUAAGCGGGACGCGGUACCGGAAUAGAAAGCCACGGCUAACUACGUGCCAGCAGCCGCGGUAAUAC
rnacentral:rRNA from 1 species